UGACGCAGACCCGAAACCAAGUGACCUACCCAUGACCAGGUUGAAGGCGCGGUAAAACGCGCUGGAGGACCGAACCCACGUAAGUUGAAAAUUGCGGGGAUGAGUUGUGGGUAGCGGUGAAAUUCCAAACGAACUUGGAGAUAGCUGGUUCUCUCCGAAAUAGCUUUAGGGCUAGCCUCGCAAAGAGGAUGCUGGAGGUAGAGCUCUGUUUGGACUAGGGGCCCGUCAAGGGUUACUGAAUUCAGAUAAACUGCGAAUUCCAGACAUUUAUGUGCGGGAGUCAGACUGCGAGUGAUAAGAUCCGUAGUCGAAAGGGAAACAGCCCAGAUCACCAGUUAAGGU
rnacentral:rRNA from 1 species